CCUACGGGAGGCUGCAGUAGGGAAUUUUCGUCAAUGGGCGCAAGCCUGAACGAGCAAUGCCGCGUGAGCGAGGAAGGUCUUCGGAUCGUAAAGUUCUGUUGGAGGGGAAAAAGAGCGGAGAGAGGAAAUGCUUUCUGAUUGAUAUUACCCGUCGAGGAAGUCACGGCUAACUACGUGCCAGCAGCCGCGGUAAUACGUAGGUGGCGAGCGUUAUCCGGAUUUAUUGGGUUUAAAGGGUGCGCAGGCGGAUUUUUAAGUCAGCGGUAAAAUCGUGGGGCUCAACCCCAAACAGCCGUUGAAACUGGGGGGCUAGAGUGUGGGAGAGGUAGGUGGAAUGCGUGGUGUAGCGGUGAAAUGCAUAGAGAUCACGCAGAACACCGAUGGCGAAGGCAGCACACCGGUGCACAACUGACGCUCAGGCACGAAAGCGUGGGGAGCGAACAGGAUUAGAUACCCGUGUAGUC
rnacentral:rRNA from 1 species